UGGAUGUUCCGGCCACCCCACUCUCAGC
rnacentral:piRNA from 1 species